rnacentral:rRNA from 1 species
CCCUGGCAGCUUGCUGCCGGGGUGAGAGUGGCGAACGGGAGAAGGUGCGUGACCGACCUGCCCCAUGCACCGGAAUAGCUCCUGGAAACGGGUGGUAAUGCCGGAUGUUCCACAUGAGCGCAUGCGAGUGUGGGAAAGGCUUUUGCGGCAUGGGAUGGGGUCGCGUCCUAUCAGCUUGUUGGUGGGGUAACGGCCUACCAAGGCGUUGACGGGUAGCCGGCCUGAGAGGGCGACCGGCCACAUUGGGACUGAGAUACGGCCCAGACUCCUACGGGAGGCAGCAGUGGGGAAUAUUGCACAAUGGGCGCAAGCCUGAUGCAGCGACGCCGCGUGCGGGAUGGAGGCCUUCGGGUUGUAAACCGCUUUUGUUCAAGGGCAAGGCAGGUUUUUGGCCUGUUGAGUGGAUUGUUCGAAUAAGCACCGGCUAACUACGUGCCAGCAGCCGCGGUAAUACGUAGGGUGCAAGCGUUAUCCGGAUUUAUUGGGCGUAAAGGGCUCGUAGGCGGUUCGUCGCGUCCGGUGUGAAAGUCCAUCGCUUUACGGUGGAUCCGCGCCGGGUACGGGCGGGCUUGAUUGCGGUAGGGGAGACUGGAAUUCCCGGUGUAACGGUGGAAUGUGUAGAUAUCGGGAAGAACACCAAUGGCGAAGGCAGG